rnacentral:rRNA from 1 species
UGGGGAAUAUUGCACAAUGGGCGAAAGCCUGAUGCAGCAACGCCGCGUGAGUGAUGAAGGCCUUCGGGUUGUAAAGCUCUGUCUUUUGGGACGAUAAUGACGGUACCAAAGGAGGAAGCCACGGCUAACUACGUGCCAGCAGCCGCGGUAAUACGUAGGUGGCAAGCGUUGUCCGGAUUUUACUGGGCGUAAAGGAUGCGUAGGCGGAUUUUUAAGUGAGAUGUGAAAUACCCGGGCUUAACUUGGGUGCUGCAUUUCAAACUGGGAAUCUAGGGUGCGGGAGAGGAGAAUGGAAUUCCUAGUGUAGCGGUGAAAUGCGUAGAGAUUAGGAAGAACACCAGUGGCGAAGGCGAUUCUCUGGACCGUAACUGACGCUGAGGCAUGAAAGCGUGGGUAGCAAACAGGAUUAGAUACCCUGGUAGUCCACGCCGUAAACGAUGAGUACUAGGUGUAGGAGGUAUCGACCCCUUCUGUGCCGCAGUUAACACAAUAAGUACUCCGCCUGGGAAGUACGAUCGCAAGAUUU